CCCUUAGAUGUUCUGGGCCGCACGCGCGCUACACUGAUGCAUUCAACGAGUCCAACCUUGACCGAGAGGUCCGGGUAAUCUUUGAAACUGCAUCGUGAUGGGGCUAGACUAUUGCAAUUAUUAAUCUUCAACGAGGAAUGCCUAGUAAGCGUGAUUCAUCAAAUCGCGUUGAUUACGUCCCUGCCCUUUGUACACACCGCCCGUCGCUCCUACCGAUUGAGUGUGUUGGUGAGGAGUUUGGAUUGGCCUCGGAAGGUGGUUCGCCACCGUCCGUAGCUGAGAAGUUCUCCAAACCGCCCCACUUAGAGGAAGGAGAAGUCGUAACA
rnacentral:rRNA from 1 species